rnacentral:SRP_RNA from 1 species
GCCAGGCGUGGUGGUGAGCACCUGUAGUCCCAGCUACUCAGGAGACUGAGGUAGGAGGAUCACUUGAGCCUGGGAAGUCAAGGCUGCAGUGAGCCGUGAUUGCGCCACUGCACUCCAGCCUGGGCAACAGAGUGAGACCCUACCUCAA